ensembl:lncRNA
GCAGGUGCCACGAGGAGGACGCAGAGCACAUUGGUGCCUGGCUCCCCACUCCUCUUCCUGCUGCUGCUGGUACUGCCCCUAACACCGUUUGGUGUGGGGAGCCUCCAACGCCCUGACCUUGGCUGGACAGCUCUUCAUGCACUUAGCCUUGGCUCCAGAAGACUCCAGGAGCCUGAAGAUGGGGCCCUCGCCCGCCAAUGGUACAACAGGAAGCAAGCAUGCAGUCAGUACUUUGACCUCUACUUCAACCUGGAAAAAUCCAUCUAUGUAAAGUCCUGGGAUGCCUUUUACCAGUUUACAAAGGCUGUGGUGGAUAAAGCGAUCAAAAACCCCCAAACACGGAUUUCCUUCAUCACCUACUCCUGCAAGGGCAACAUCAUCCUGAAACUCACCCCUGACAGGCAGAAGCUUCGGAAGGGCUUUAGAAGACUUCAGAACACUGUCUUAGCAGGCUAUAUACAAGCAGACUAUGGUUUUUACAAGGUGAAUGUGCAGCUAACUCAAAGCCGGAAAGAAGGACACUACGGCCCUGUUGUGGUGCUCAACUUCAUCACUCAAGACCUGGGUGACUCCAUAUUUGAAAAUCUCAAGACUGAAAUCGACUAUGCCCGUUCAGCUGGGGCAUCUGUUUACAAUGUGGUGCUGGGCCGUUACAACAAAACACAGGUGGCAGCAUUGGAGGACAGACCCCAAGACACGAUUAAGAUCCAGGGAGGAUUUAACUACAUGCUGGGCGCCGUGGAUGACGUUGUUAAAAUUAUCUGUCCUCAAGGUCUUGUAUUGAAGAACACCACGGUGUGUGCGCAGGAAAAGUACACCGUGCAUAUUCUCGGACAAUUCUCUGGCAUUAGAGACGUGGUCAUCUGCAAGUUCCACAUACCCAACCAGAAGCCUGUCGAUGUCAAAGCCAUCAGUACCAGUGACACCGUAAUAAUGUGCCAGGGGCCUGUUGUAUCGGAACCGUAUCAGGUAGUGACGAUUGAAGUCAGCCUGAACAAUGGGAAAACAUUCAACCCCAGCAAACUCAAAUUGGGCAUCUUCGAUUGUAAUCCUGACUCCACACGGAAGACCACGACUCGGAGGACGACAACGACCACGACCACAACCACCACCACGACGACCACGACGACCACCACCACCACCACGACCACGACGACCACGACCACGACCACCACCACCGGCGACCACCACCACCAACCACCACCACCACCACCGUUCCCAACCACUGUCACAACCACUAUGCCCCCCCACCACGGAUUAUUACAGACGUACAGGAACGACAGCAAGUUCAUUCAUAUCCCCGUCCUGCUUGUUCCUGCCACUGCUCCCGUUGGUACUGUGCUGCUGCAGGGUGCAGGCCCACAGGACUGAAGAGGAGCCACCGCUGCCACCCCCAGAAAAGCCCAAGAAAGUGCCUCCCCCACCACCACCGCCACCACCCCCGCCGCCCCCUGUGACUGUGUGCCCCACGGUGAUCGUCUGCCGCUGUGCCUGCCGGGGGGUGUGCAUGGACAGAGGGCUACAGGGCACCCUGGAUGGCUUCUACAACUACAUCCAGCCCACCUGCCACCCUUCACCGAUGAUGUUGUGCCGGGCCAGGGGCCAGGAGAGGUGGCCCAACCUCGCCCUCAUGAAGGCCCCAAGCAGCUCCAGCCUCUGCCUUCAACCCAGCCUGGAGAGUCACCCCCUCACCUGGUGUUCCCAGUGCCACCACCUCCCAGACAGGUGCGCCAGGCCUUCCGCCAGGACGCUGCCGCUGCCCGCUCCCCAGAAUCAGGCUCUCUGCAGGAGCACCUUGUCCCUGCCUCCCCUGUAGCCCGGCCUCUCGGCACCCACACCCCAGAUGAAGAGGCUUUGCUUGCUGAGUGUGACGUGUGCACGAGUCUUGCUUUAUGGGCAAAGCAGUAG